AGCGCUCACGCCAGCAGAGGAAGCCACAACGCCGCCCUGCGGCUCUGGCAGAGCCGACUGAUCGAGCGCAACGUGAAGGAGAUGCAGAAUGUGCCCUGCAGUGGACAACGUGCGCGCCAGCUUCGGAAUUGUAACCUUUCGCUGGAAAGAUCUGACGUGGAGAAAACCAAACGACAAAGCGAUCCUCAGAAAAGGUGAGUGUCGGAAACGCUAAUUACAUAAUUUGUCGACUUUGCGCCGCCACACAAGUAUGCCUCUCCCUGAAAUUUCCCAAUUGUCCACGCAUCCUAUGACAUGAGUUUAAGCCUAUGCAUGCGCCCGAGUAUUUCUGAAGCCUGCUUCUUAACGCCUAUAAGUUUAUAACUCAUUGUGGAUUGCACGAAGUGUUAUUUAAGUAAACGGUGGCGACAUUCUACAUCAUAAUUACUGCGCAAUGACAAGUACGUAGCACACCACGCUUCUUAUACAACGCAUCCAGUUUUUGGCAGCACAAGAUAAAAAAAAAACUUUCACGUCAUUGCCGAAAACUCAAGUGGAAAUUUUUUUUCUUUAUUUUUCCAUGGCUUUGGACCAGUCAGGGUUAAACACGGUGGCUCACUCGCUUCAUUCUUUUUUUUUUUUUUCGUCUCCUGCGUGCGAGUGAGCCUUUCCACCGACACCCAAGACUGAAUCGAGUUACACUCGGCUGAACACACACACACACACGAAAAAAAAAAUGAAAAACAAAUGUGGCCUUUUAAGUGUAGGCAGACGCGAAAUUGGAUUUGAGAAGGCACCUUGAUUAACGGCUGCGCACAUUUUCUUCGCCCGUGCGGAAACACAAUGCUACGCGUAUCCUUUAAUUAAAGCGCGCUAGGUGGCGUGCGCCGAAAAAUCGUGAGCUCUGUUCGAGAGACGAAUUGUUUUCCCUGCGGGUUGCGAGUGACCUUCCGGGCAAGCGCGUUCGCACGCUACGGGUAUGGCGUCGCCUUCCCAUGUGAUCUGAAAUGAGGCGAGACCGAUUGUUCCGGUUUGUCUACCCGCUCGAUUAAAUCGGUGCAGC